rnacentral:rRNA from 1 species
AGCAGCCGCCACGGUAAUACGGAGGGGGCUAGCGUUGUUCGGAAUUACUGGGCGUAAAGCGUACGUAGGCGGCUUUGUAAGUUAGAGGUGAAAGCCCGGGGCUCAACCCCGGAAUUGCCUUUAAGACUGCAUCGCUUGAAUCGCGGAGAGGUGAGUGGAAUUCCGAGUGUAGAGGUGAAAUUCGUAGAUAUUCGGAAGAACACCAGUGGCGAAGGCGGCUCACUGGACGCGUAUUGACGCUGAGGUACGAAGGCGUGGGGAGCAAACAGGAUUAGAUACCCCGGUAGUCCCUGUCUCUUAUAC